rnacentral:rRNA from 1 species
GACGAAGGGGGCUAGCGUUGUCCGGAAUCACUGGGCGUAAAGGGCGCGUAGGCGGCGCGGUAAGCGUGCGGUGAAAGCCCGGGGCUCAACCCCGGGUCGGCCGUGCGGACUGCCGGGCUGGAGCACUGUAGAGGCAGGUGGAAUUCCGGGUGUAGCGGUGGAAUGCGUAGAGAUCCGGAAGAACACCGGUGGCGAAGGCGGCCUGCUGGGCAGUAGCUGACGCUGAAGCGCGACAGCGUGGGGGAGCAAACAGG